rnacentral:rRNA from 1 species
CGUGAGGCGGAGCUAAUCCCUUAAAAGCCAUUCUCAGUUCGGAUUGUAGGCUGAAACUCGCCUACAUGAAGCUGGAGUUACUAGUAAUCGCAGAUCAGAAUGCUGCGGUGAAUGCGUUCCCGGGUCUUGUACACACCGCCCGUCACACCACGGAAGUUGGGGGCGCCCGAAGCCACUUAGCUAACCCUUUUGGGAAGCGAGUGUCGAAGGUGAAAUCAAUAACUGGGGUGAAGUCGUAACAAGGUACC